UUUUGAUUUUUUUAUGAGACAAACUAAAUAUACCAACAAAUAAAAAUAGGAACAAGUGAAUGAAAAUUUGUGUGGAUUUAAUUGGUAGUUGGUGAUGAUAUUCCCUGGCAACGGUGCCACAAAUCCCUCCUGGUACUUGUACAUGUGUUGGGUUUUCCGUGAAGAGGAACGGGUUAUCACAACAUAAUGUGGGUAACUACUUCCCUGAGUUAUGAAAUCAAGAUUUAUCGGACCUAUAGGAG
rnacentral:lncRNA from 1 species